GCUGGGUGCAGUGGCCCCCUGCCUGUAAUCCCAGCAGCUCUGGAGGCUGAGGCAGGAGGAUCAUGAGUUCAAAGCCAGCCUCAGCAAAAGUGAGGCACUAAGCAACUCAGUGAGACCCUGUCUCUA
rnacentral:sRNA from 1 species